GUGUAUAAUGCCACUCGUCAUUUAAAGGCUCAUAACAAAGCAUUUAAUGUAAGUGAAGCAGGCCACUAUGAGUAGCAAAUGUACCGAAGUACUGGGUUUAUUUAAUGAAUUAAACCUAAAAAUGAAUUCUGAUCCCAGGAAAUUUUUAUAGAUUCAUAGUGUCUUGCAUGAAUUAAAAAUUUCUAUGGUCAUUAUGAAGGAUAGCUUUAUCAGAUGCCUAAGCGAUAACCAAAAUGAUUUUCAUUGAUAGUAAAAAAAAAUUCCAAAGAAAAUUAUGUUAUUAUACGUUAUACGUUUCAUUUGUUUACAUAAUCAUGUUUAAUGAAAGAAAAUCGUUAAUCUGAUAAAUUUAGAAACUUGAAACCAAAUGAAUUUGUUAUUUUAUUAAAAUGUUCUCUUUUGAAAGAGAAUGUAGCUUUAAAUAGGAAUGUAAUCAUUUCAAAUGAAGAUGGAAAAGAAAGUAUAUAAGGGUAUCACUAACUGAUUGUUAAUAUUAAUAGUGAAUUAUGAGAAAACUCUGGUUCUAGUAAUAUUUUUUUUGUUCAAAUGUCACAUCUAUACUUAUAAAAAAAAUCUUUAUAAGUACUUUCAAUAACAAUAUGACGAUGUUUUAACUUUUUGUUGUUCAUAUAUUUCCUGAUAUAUUGUGAUCUUCCACUUAGAAUCAUUUAUAUAGGUUAAGGCUUCCAUGAUGAUUCACUUAAGAGCUGAUGUUGCCAUGCAGACAUUUAUACAUAAAAUUGAAACUCAUUCAAUAAAUUGAUGUAAAAUUGUUAUUAUGCAUAUAUUCAAUGGAAUAAACGUUAUUUGUACAUGU
rnacentral:sRNA from 1 species